UAUGGCCAUAUCACAUUGAAACCCCGGUUCCCGUACGAUCACCGGAGUCAAGCAACGUCGAGUGUGGUCAGUACUUAGAUGGGUGAUCACUUGAGAAUACCGGGUGCUGUAAG